AGGAGUUCAUUUAAGCUUUCUGUGCCUCAAUUUCUUUAUCUGUGUUAGUGCAAUGCCCUCAUGUAACGUAACUGCAAAGCAGACAAAACCAAGUGAGAAAUCCAAAAUACCCAAACUUCAAUCUAAUAUUAUAUUACCAUACGUAAGAGUUAUAUGAAUAUUAAAAAGAUAUGAAGGAUAUAAAAAAGAUGCAGAUUUUCAUUAAGUUCUUACCUAAAAAAGAAGACGUAUAUGAAACUUGAAAGAAGAAAAAAAAAAGGAAGAUGCAAAUCGUGUAACUCCUAAUUGGGAGUUGCUGGCCUUCUGGAAUGGAUGCAGUGUGGAUACGCUGGUAGCAGACUUCACCACGAUUCCCUUGGGUUGUGGAGGCUGUGACAUUAUAGCAACCAUAAUAAGAUUUAGUGCAUCCCAAAAGGGGCAUGGACCAGAAUCCAGGUAGAAUCCUGGCAAAAUCUUGGUCAUCAGUAACCUCAGCUAAUGGGAUGUCAUUGCUUCCCAAGGGACAUGCACCAUCCAACUCCAGGAAAAUUUACGAUUAAGUAGAGAAACAUUUCAAGAAAUCAAAACUAUAUUUUAAUAUUUUUGCAUUGAGGAAUCUGUAAAAAUUUGAUAUUCUAUCUACUCGCAAAGUUUAAGGGAUUCUGGCCUUUAGAGUGACAACUUUCAACUCCAAUUUACAAUGUAUAAUUAUGUAAUUGGUUUAAUACUUGGGACUCUACUUCGUACAGUGUUGGAACAUUUAAGAGAACUUCAUUCUCACCUUAUUAAUUUAAUUUCACAGAUUUCUGAGGAUUAUUUGAGUCCUUGGGAAGGUUUUGUUUGUUGAGGCAGGAAAUUGAAGUACUUAAGAAGGAAAUAAAAUAUAUUACAUCUCUAAAUAUAGAUUGAAAUACUUGAAAGUAUUUAGUGAACUAGGUUUUUAAAUGGGGCAAAAUAGAAUUCAAGUGCCUCUUAAAAUGAUUGCUAAAAUAAGAAUAACAAAGUUUGUAAACUGAUAUAAAUAGAAUAAUGAGAUAUGUAAGCUGAUCUUAGAGACAUGCAAAGAAAUCCUGUCACAUGCUACAACAUGCAUGAACCUUGAAUACAUUAUGUUAAGUGAAAGAAGCAAGUCGCAAGAAAAGACAAAAAUUAUAUGAUUCUACUUAUAUGAGGUAUCUAGAGUAGUCAAAUUCAUAAAAAACAGAAAGUAGAAUGGUGGUUACCAGGGCCUGGGAGCAGGAGAAAAAGGGAGUUGUUUAAUGGGUGCAGAGUUUCAGAUUUGCAAGAUGAGAAAGUCUGGAGAUCUGUUUACAACAACGCGAAUAUACUUAAUAUUGAUGAACUGUAUGCUUAAAAAUGGUUAAGACGGUAAAUUUUAUGCUAUGUGUUUUUCACAAUUUAAAAAAUGGGGGGAAAAAGCCUAUGAAGGAAUUGAGGUUUUUAUUGUACAAUUUUAGUUUAUUGCACAUUAAUGGUUAAAACCUAACUCUUUCCUUCAUGCAAAAGCCACCCUCAAAGACACAAAAAUCUCACACCAACAAUCCAUGUAAUUGGGAUAAUCACGCAACACAAAAUUGCUAUGAGGACUAACGGAGAUAACAUUCAGAGCACAAGACAAGAGAGGCUCUUUUUUUUAGAGGUUCCUACGAACCAAACCAAACCAAACAAAAAUGAGUCUCUUGGAUGAACUCAAGUCACGUGUCCACCCUUGACCCAGUCACCUUGGUCGGUUGGAUUGGCAAGAUGAAAUGUGCUCAGUACCACUUGCAAGUC
rnacentral:lncRNA from 1 species